rnacentral:rRNA from 1 species
UUCUCUUAGGAAUAGGGGACAGUGGCGAUCGGGUGAGUAAGGAGAGGGUAAUCUGCCCUUGACAUCGGGAUAGCCCGGGGAAACCCUACCUAUACCGAAUAGCCUCCGGAGCCUUCGGGCGCCGGAGAAAAGGUAGCUUCGGCCUCUGGUCAAGGAUGAGCCCGCGGCGGAUUAGCUUGUUGGUGGGGUAACGGCCUACCAAGGCGACGAUCCGUAGCUGGUCUGAGAGGACGAUCAGCCACACUGGGACUGAGACACGGCCCAAACUCCUACGGGAGGCAGCAGUGGG